CCUACGGGGGGCAGCAGUGAGGAAUAUUGGUCAAUGGCCGGAAGGCUGAACCAGCCAUGCCGCGUGAAGGUCAGUGCCCUAUGGGCGUUAAACUUCUUUUGUGCGGGAGCAAUAAUGGUCACGUGUGGCCAGACGAGAGUACCGUACGAAUAAGCAUCGGCUAACUCCGUGCCAGCAGCCGCGGUAAUACGGGGGAUGCAAGCGUUAUCCGGAUUUAUUGGGUUUAAAGGGUGCGUAGGCUGUGAGGUAAGUCAGCGGUGAAAUGCCCCCGCUCAACGGGGUGAAGUGCCAUUGAUACUGCCUGGCUGGAAUGCGGAUGCGGUGGGAGGAAUGUGUGGUGUAGCGGUGAAAUGCAUAGAUAUCACACAGAACACCGAUUGCGAAGGCAUCUCACGAAGCCGCGAUUGACGCUGAUGCACGAAAGCGUGGGUAUCAAACAGGAUUAGAUACCCGUGUAGUC
rnacentral:rRNA from 1 species